rnacentral:rRNA from 1 species
UGGGGAAUAUUGCGCAAUGGGGGCAACCCUGACGCAGCAACGCCGCGUGAAGGAUGAAGGUUUUCGGAUUGUAAACUUCUUUUGUCAAGGACGAAGAAAGUGACGGUACUUGACGAAUAAGCCACGGCUAACUACGUGCCAGCAGCCGCGGUAAUACGUAGGUGGCAAGCGUUGUCCGGAUUUACUGGGUGUAAAGGGCGAGUAGGCGGGUCUGCAAGUCAGAUGUGAAAUACCGGGGCUUAACUCCGGGGCUGCAUUUGAAACUGUAGAUCUUGAGUGAUGGAGAGGCAGGCGGAAUUCCCGGUGUAGCGAUGGAAUGCGUAGAUAUCGGGAGGAACACCAGUGGCGAAGGCGGCCUGCUGGACAUUAACUGACGCUGAGGAGCGAAAGCGUGGGGAGCAAACAGGAUUAGAUACC